rnacentral:lncRNA from 1 species
ACACCGUGUUUCCUGAUGAUAUCUCCCAAGGGUAACAUGUAAAGUGUGAAGAGUAACGGCCCUAGUACUGAGCCUUGAGGUACUCCAUACUGCACUUGUGAUCGAUAUGAUACCUCUUCAUUCACUGAUACGAAUUGAUGGCGGUCAUAUAAGUAUGAUUUAAACCAUGCUAAUGCACUUCUAUUAAUGCCAACAAAGUGUUCUAGUCUAUGCAAAAGAAUGGUGUGGUCAAUAGUGUCGAACGCAGGACUAAGAUCCAAUAGCACUAAUAGAGAGAUACAACCAUGAUCAGAUGAUAAGAGCAGGUCAUUUGUAACUCUAAGGAGAGAUGUAACUCUCCAUAGCUUGGCUUUCGUUAUGGGUUAGCAGGUACACCCUACUUUUGGGUGGCAUGGCACUAGAAAGAAGAUCAAUAGCACAAUCCCAGGGACGAUGAAGUGGAAUUGGGUGGCCUUCAUCUUGCUAAAUACCUCAGCAUAGUCAUUGUAACAGUCUGGGACUUAAGUGGUUUGUUCGAUGACAGGGCUUUCAACACUGGUAGACAGACAUUGAGGUGAAAUAUAAGAGUGCAUACAAUGGGUUAAGCAGAAAUUUGACCAGCGGGUUAACUCACCAUGAUGCCAGGAAAUAACUGGGUCGGGAACUGAUAGCCAAGGAAAGCCUAGGAUGAUUUAAUUUCUUGGGGAGUCAAUUACAUAAAAUGAGAUAAUGCCCCAGAUAAGAUGCCCAUUUUGAGCCCAUGCCCACUCUGUAUCCCAGUAACCCAUGUGUAACCCAUAUGGGCGCCACAUAAACAUGUAUGCUGGGUCUACAUGAUUUAUGCAAUUUCACACAAGCAGCAAAGGUAUUGUGUUGUUAUUGUACAAACUUUUUUUAUACAACAGUUCAAUAAAUACAAAGAUAAUGCUGUGUUUUUAUUUAAACACAAAAUUGUCAGCAGAACCUUUGUGCAUCUCUGAGCAACACAUCAUUUACUCACCCUCAUGUUUUUUUUUUUUUUUCAAACCUGUAUGACUUUCUUUUGUGGAACAUAAAAUAAGUUAUUCUGAAGACUGUUGGUAAGCAGAUUGGUUAACAAUUACUUUUAUUCCAUAAGAAAAAAAAAAAAAAAAAAAACCUAAAAAACUACUAGUAAAAAAAAAAUCUCUCUAAAGCUAUUUUUGUAAUGCCUACUUGAUUAUUUAUACAUUUAACACAAUAAUGACUUUAAAUGAUCUUUUGUGGGUAUUUUCACAGACAAAUUUAAUUUGUGAUAAAUUUGAUUAAUCAAUCACCACAUUAUGUAAUUAAUUAGAUUAAAAUGUUUAAUCGACUGACAGCCCAAAUAUAGAUGGAUAGAUAGAUAGAUCGACAGACAGACAAAGAUAGAUAGAUACAUAGAUCAUACACAUAUACUGUACAUGUACAAUACUAGAUGUUUACAAUAAGAUCUAUAACAUGCAUUUAUAAAACAGUGGGAUUUUAAUUUCAUCCUGACUUAUAAUCAAGAAGUCUUGCUGGAUCCUAUGCCACCAAAAACAACACAUGCUGUUGUUUUCAGCGCAGUUGAAGACCAAACAAGGGUUAUUCUCAGGAACAUGACCACUGAAAUCAGAACGAUAAGCCAGAUGGCCGUUUGGUGGCCUGUGUACAUCUAACAAUGUUUCAGACAAUUAGCAAGGUCACGACAAAAGAUUAUGGACGAUAGGUGGGCAUCAAAGAGACCUCAGAUGACACUAUGUUUAGAUAAUCACUAACACUGGCAUCGGGCUGCUCGCUUUUAGCUCUGGUUCAGAUCACUGAUGCAAACUGAGCUUUUGAACCUUUGGUUUCAGAUGUGAUAAGAGCCUGAACAUUCGUCUCUGCCACGGGAAUGUAACAUUGCCCUGAAGGAUUGACGAAAGUACAAUGAAUCAGACAACCAAAGAGGAGUUCAACAAUAUAGGCCUCACUCUCGUAGUAGGUGUUUGCUUAUCCUGUGCAGCCCUGCGAAACACUAUCAGCACGUUCAUCGGCACUCCUCCAAAGCUCUUUGUGCUUUUG